UCCAACUGGCGUAUCGCCCAGUCUGUCACACAGUGAAUAACUUGUGGUAAACACCAUCAAGCGCUGUUCCUCCGGCAAAAAGAAGGAUGCAAGUCCACAAAGAGUUCGCCAGCAUUGAGUCGGUGGGAUAAAUGAACAGCGAAGCUUGCUCCGUCAUCUCCGUGCUUAGUCUGAGCAGAACAUCCACACACUCACCAAGCAGUUGAAGUUGGUGGAAUGGACCUUCUUGCUGCUCACUGCCUGGAAGAAUGUCCUCAUCGACUCCAAACCUGCUUGACAGACCAAAGCCCAGGCCAAGCCAAGGCUGCUGGUGACCUCUGCCCCAGAAGUAAUCAAUUUAGAUUUAAAGUAAUUAUUGAUAGAGAGAGAGAGAACCAGUGAGAGAAGAAACACCAGCAGGGGGAGUGGGAGAGGAAGAUGCAGACUCCCAGCAGAGGAGCCUGAUGCAGGGCUCGAUCCCAGGACCCCGGGAUCACACCCUGAGCCAAAGGCAGAUGCUUAAUGACUGAGCCACCCAGGCACCCCAGGAGCUAAGUUUUUCUAAUAACUGUGUAACCCUCUGUAUUUGCCUUUGGAAUCUCUUGUCAUCACCUUGGUUAAACAGAUAAUUAAAUAUUAAGUUUUACACUAAUCUGUGAUCCUACUUAAGCAUGUGCUUUAAAACCUUCUGGGUUUUUAAACAAAUUUCCCAGAAAUUCAAAUUCUAAAUGAAGUCUUUCUGAUUAAUCAGACUUGUUUAUUUGGUAUAUUAAGUUACAGGACAAGCAUUGUGAAACAAAUGAUGAUAAGCCUUUGUAAAUUAUAUUGUAUGGGUAAAUGCUAUAACAGUUCCAGAAAGUAUAUGAAAUUCCUAGUUUUAAUAUGUACUGAUAUAAUGUCAUCACUUAAAAUUCUAAUUAUUAAAAUGUUGUGUGUCACAAAAAUAACUGAAUGUCAUUGUCAACUACACUAUAAUGAAUUCUCAUCAGAUCUUUAACCAUGUCCAUUUUUGAGUUAUUUGUCCUUAACAGUUAUUGUUCUGAUGCUCU